GUGGUACAUGCUGUACUCGAUUAUAGGAGGUCUGUCAUGGUUUCACAAAGACUGGACUUAAGAAGCUGACUCACACAACCGCUGAAGUGUUUGAAAGGCUGAUUAACAGCAGGAUCUGACUGAAUAAGGACAGGUGAUUACUCAGUUGAGAGGGAGGGAGGGAGGUUGUUAACAAGUGCCAGUGAUGAGAGGAAGGAUGCAACUGCUCAUCAAAGAUAAAUGUUGAACUGUGGGAGGGGUAGCAGGUGAUUUCAGGUAAGUUCUUUUUUCUGGAAUGAAUCAUAAAACCUGAAUACUGAUGCUGAACUAGUCAGGAUGUGAGGCAGCAACUCCAGGUAACCAUGAAGGAGACAAGGGUUACUGAUCAAAACUGUCAAAAUCAGUCAAAUGAGGUUUGCCAAUUUGUUACCAGAGUGGAGGUGGUGAUCUGGCAAAUGCCACAGCUGUUUCAGAGAUACACAGCACCAAUGAAGGUAAUGCAGGAUGGAUAAUCUACCCACCUGCUCACCUAAGAGUGAAGGCUAUUUUAUACUGAGUGUAUUGCAAAAAAAAAAAAAAAGAGAGAUAAAAAAUUCCAAUUUUCUGGAUGCAAACUUGUUGUCUAACAUUUGCACACAACACUGGCAGUGUUGCAUUUUUAUGGAAAACUCGUCCUCAAGAAACUGUGGAAAAAAAUGAAGUGGACAUCAAGUGAUGACAAGCUGGUCCUGAUGUUUCUACAUAAAAGGAAGAAACUGAGAUUCUGGGUUCAUCCAAUUCUCAGAAGCUGGUUUGCUCCAUGAGUUGAAGCUGUCGUACAUAUUUCAACACGUCAGUGGAGCAGUUUGAGCUCCUGUUGGCAGUUGGCAACUGUGUGUCUGAGGUAAAAUGAUAUUAUUUUCCGUAUUCGAUUAAAUUUCAUUUAUACAGCUCCAAAUCACAACAGUCACAGUAUGUUCAGUACCAGUGCAUGUUUUGACCUGCGAGCGCGCUUGCUGCCAAAUGCAGUGAUCUGAUUGGUCAGACCACUGCAUUUGGCAGACGCAAAAAAACCCCAACAAGGUUAUUCCAAAAAAAAAAGAAUGUUCCAGAUUUAUUCAGCAAAAUUAUGCAGUUGGUCCAAACAAACCCAUGAAACAUUUGUACAACUGUCUCAUGCUCAGUAUGUAAAGGCCUUUCUUUCUUCAGAGGAAGAGGCCUCAGGCCUUCCCCAAAUCCUAACAAGCUGUAGUUGUAGAACAAAUAAAAAUAAUGAUAUAAAAAAGAAACAAAAAUAAGCUAAAAACAAGUACAUAAAGCAUGAAGGCUCGUUUCAAUCGCCAACUUCUACAGCGUUUAAGCGACUGCGACAGGAAUGAGAGUCAGGGAGCAGUUCAGGCUUCACACUCCAAAUGCAAACAGCAGAUCCUGAGAUGGCUUGCUGAGCUGGCGCAGCAAUAUCGCCUUUGUGGACAUGGAAUAUGCUACAUUUUAUUCCCAGGGUUAACUGAGGAUAAACGAGGAUGGAGCCAGCCACAAAAAGGCUACUGAAAAAGAAAUCUCCCAGAGGUCAUACGUGCCUGUAAGCGUAUUGUUCUGAAGACAGAAGCUUCUCUGCACAGGUUUUGUUGUGGUAGGCCACUCAGGGUUCAACAGACUUGUUUGUUUGUGAUAGAAAGAGAGCAGUGUCGAG
ensembl:lncRNA